rnacentral:SRP_RNA from 1 species
GCUGGGCAUGGUGGUGCACACCUGUGGUCCCAGCUACUCAGGAGGCUGAGGUGGGAGGAUUGCUUGUGCCCAGGAGGUCAAGGCUGCAGUGAGCCAUGAUUGUGCCACUGCACUUCAGCCUGGGCAACAGAGCAAGACUCUGUCUCAA